AAAAAACCCAAUUUAAAUAGUGUGGGCGAUUCUGCCCGUCAUUCCACUCAAUGAGUUCAAUCUCAGUUCCCGUGUGCCUCUCAUAGUGUGAGCAUCUCGCCAUGCUGAGUGUGAUUCUAGUGUUUAAAGAUACGUAUUUUUCGGAUUUUUUUUUA